rnacentral:rRNA from 1 species
AACGAACGCUGGCGGCAGGCCUCAAACAUGCAAGUCUAGGGGGUGUAGCAAUACAUCACCGGCGGACGGGUGCGUAACGCGUGGGAAUAUACCUAUUGGUUCGGAACAACUGAGGGAAACUUCAGCUAAUACCGGAUACGUCCUAACGGAGAAAGAUUUAUCGCCAAUAGAUUAGCCCGCGUUCGAUUAGCUAGUUGGUGGGGUAACGGCCCACCAAGGCGACGAUCGAUAGCUGUUCUGAGAGGAAGAUCAGCCACACUGGGACUGAGA